rnacentral:rRNA from 1 species
UACGUAGGUGGCGAGCGUUGUCCGGAUUUACCGGGCGUAAAGGGAGCGUAGGCGGGCUUUUAAGUGAGAUGUGAAAUACUCGGGCUCAACUUGAGUGCUGCAUUUCAAACUGGAAGUCUAGAGUGCAGGAGAGGAGAAUGGAAUUCCUAGUGUAGCGGUGAAAUGCGUAGAGAUUAGGAAGAACACCAGUGGCGAAGGCGAUUCUCUGGACUGUAACUGACGCUGAGGCUCGAAAGCGUGGGGAGCAAACAGG